AUGCCUCCAGGCCAGCAGGACUCAACCUUCUCCUUCCUCUUCCCCACAGGGAUGAUGGCGGCCGUGCAGCUGGUGGAGUCUGGAGGUGCCUCUUCCGCCCCGGGGGGGCCGUGAAGCUCCUCUGCAAGGCCUCAGGCUUCACCUUCAGCAGCUACNACAUGUUCUGGAUGAGACAGGCCCCUGGGAGGGGCCUGGAAUGGGUGGCAGGGAUUGACUAUGAUGGUAGUUACACCUACUACGCGCCGUCAGUCAAGGGCCGCGCCACCAUCUCCAGGGACAAGGCCCAGACACGGUCACGCUGCAGCUGAACGGCCUGAAGACCCAAGACACGGGCUCCUACUUCUGUGCCAAUGGUUGGAUUGACUCGUGGGGCGCAGGAACCAUCGUCACCGUCUCCUCCGCCAGUCUGGACAAAGAUCUGGACAAAGAUCUGGGCCUACUUGGCCUCUUUGAGCCGGUUUUGCCCCAAAACUUUUACCCCACCUCUUGA